rnacentral:rRNA from 1 species
CCAGCAGCCGCGGUAAUUCCAGCUCCAAUAGCGUAUAUUAAAGUUGUUGCAGUUAAAAAGCUCGUAGUUGGAAGUUUGGGUCCGGAUCUGGUGCGAGGGCGGUGAAAGCCGUUUUUUUCUUGUGCCGGCGGAGCCAUUCCUCCUGAAGGGUACGUUCGGCGGUCUUAGUUGAUCGUUGGGCGGUUUAAUGCGCUUCAGGUCGUUUACUUUGAGCAAAUUAGAGUGUUCAAAGCAGGCGUUUUUGCCUUGAAUACCUUAGCAUGGAAUAAUGAAAUAGGACUUGGUUUCUGUUUUGUUGGUUUCUAGAAGCCGAGUAAUGAUUAAUAGGAACAGUUGGGGCCGUU